UCCCCUACUUUUCUCCUUUUCUCUCUUCUUUCGCCUUCUUUCCUGCCAUUUCUCGUCGAGAGAGAUGACUCCUAGAUCUGUGAGCCCAUCUUUCGGGCCACAUUUAGGCUUUGCUUCUCCAUCUCCUCCUCCUUGCCUCUACCAUCCACUAUCGUUCGGAAGCAUCUAUAUGCAGGAACAAAGCUAAUCCCUGAGGUAGUGUUUGGUUGCCUUAUUCCGGAUGGAAUAAGGCUUUAUUCCAGGAAUUAUAACCAAACAACCUCUUAUUCCAUGGUGGGCCACCCCAGGAUCCCUAUUCCAGUCAACACACUCUUAUUCUAAAAUACAAAUUCCAUGGUCUCCCAUAGAAUUCGGGAUUCUCGCUCUGGUUAUUCCCCCCCAGGGGUAUUCAAUGUCAUUUGGAUUAAAUGAUGGGACAGUAAAAUCCUCUUUUACCUCUUCCAUCUUCUAGCCUUCUCGAUUGCUUGAUCUCCUCCAUAGACCUCCUCCCCUCCGUCUACUCCACUGCUCCAGUGUCCUCCUACGGUCAACUUGCUGCUCAAUGCUGCCGAUCGCUACUGCCGCUACUACCCUAACAGAGCACCCUCUCGAUCUCUUUGAAAGUUGGUCUCAUUCUUCUUCACACAGUUGUCAUACUUAGCCAUUGUUCUCGGAUCAAAUAAACGUGGCAGCCCUUUCCGAAUGAUGAUGGAUGAAAUUUUUUAAUGGGAUUUCCUUGCUUUGUGAAUGUUUUCUGUGAAUGAUACUAAGAAUGUUGGUUUUUUUGUGAAAUUUUUUGAUGCUGCCGGAUGUCUGAUGAUGUUCUCUGAUAAAUUUUUUGAUGCUUUGUAAAUGUUCUCUGAGCAUGUCGGUUUUUCUGGAUUAUUUUGCUUUGUGGUGUCCUUUGUGGAUACUGCUUGAUUUCGGUUCUGACUGGUGCUCUGUGAAUGAUACCUAUGAAUGUUGCCAUGGUUUGUCUGUGGAUUAUCCUCUUUAAUUUGUGAAUUUUUUUUUGAUUUUAAUUCCUCUGGACUUUCAUAUUUUGUUCUAUUUUCCUAUUUUUUAUCUAUAUUAUAUUUUAUAUUAUUUUUUGUAUUAUGUUUUGGCAAUGAUAAUGGACUGUCUUAUGAUUGAGCAUGGCUGGGAGAAGUGUUCAUAUAUAAGCAGAUACUGCAUCUUGUAGCCACAAUGCUCCACUGACUUCAAUUCCCAAUGUACUGAGCCAC
rnacentral:lncRNA from 1 species